GACGAACGCUGGCGGCGUGCUUAACACAUGCAAGUCGAACGAAAAUACCAAGCUUGCUUGGUUGAUUAGUGGCGAACGGGUGAGUAACACGUGAGUAACCUGCCCCUUACUUUCCUGGAUAACUGCUCGAAAGGGUAGCUAAUACGGGAUAUUCUGACCAGCCUGCAUGGGUUGGUUUGGAAAGGUUGUUUUUCUGGUAAGGGAUGGGCUCGCGGCCUAUCAGCUUGUUGGUGGGGUGAUGGCCUACCAAGGCUUUGACGGGUAGCCGGCCUGAGAGGGUGGACGGUCACACUGGGACUGAGAUACGGCCCAGAGUCCUACGGGAGGCAGCAGUGGGGAAUAUUGCACAAUGGGCGCAAGCCUGAUGCAGCGACGCCGCGUGAGGGAUGAAGGCCUUCGGGUUGUAAACCUCUUUCGUCAGGGAACAAGGCACUGCUUUUUUGGUGGUGUUGAGGGUACCUGGAUAAGAAGCGCCGGCUAACUACGUG
rnacentral:rRNA from 1 species